UUCGUACUUACCCCGCUCAUGUUUCCAAAAGUGAAUUAGCAUGCUAUAUAUUAAGGCAUUCCGUUUCAGCCGCCCAUAAUAAACAAGGGAAAGAGGACAAAAUAUGCCAUGAAGUAGGACAGUUUACUGCAAGCACUUUAUUGCAAAUUACUGCUGUGGGGUAGCGUACCAAACAAUAUUUAUGUCACAUGUAAUGUCCUUACUUAGGUGUCAAAAUUUGGAAAACUGCAUUACGUGCAGUGUUGCUUGUUCGGAGAGUUAAAUCGAGAAAGUUUUUCAACGUUGCAGAUAGACUAUUGACAGAGUAGGUACCAGGCCAACUCUUAGCAUUGCAUAGUGAAGUGUUACUUCAGUGAUAAAUUCCACUAUACAGUACAUUGGCAGUAUGAUGAUGUUGUUGAAUGAGUAUUCUAGUCACACUUGCAGUCACUGACUAAAACGUAUCGCCAUAAUGUAAGGGUGUGCCAUCUAUGUAUGUCAUGUAAAAUCAUCUUCUCCUUUUGGUACGAUGGCUAAGAAGUUCACGCGGUUAAGGACGUAUUUUUAAAACUACCGUAGUAGCGCAGUGUACAAAUUGACUUUAGCUAAAUUGUUACGCCACGGCACAUGCAAAGUUCAAGUCCCCACUUCGGCGUUGAAAGCUGGAAAAUUAUGCUAUUAAUUGAAGGAUCGAUGUAGAAGAGCAGGAUCGGUAAGUCAAUGUAAUCACGUACUGGCUGGGCACAUUGACUUUCUUGUCGUUCCUUAUGCUUAUUAUUUUCAGUAGCGGCUCUUGUGAUGUUGGCAGAUGCUGUUCAACUGAUCCUGAGUUGCUGAGAAUAAAGAUUUAACGUUGUAAUUUUACGCCGUACGCUGAUAGCUAUUUGUUAUGCAAUGAAGGGACAAUGAAGACAAGCGGAAUCAGUAGUCAAUGUGAUCACAUCAUUGACGUCGUGUAUACACGUGGGAAACAGACGGAAUAUGACUGUGACUUAGGACAAAUGUUCGCACACUGCUGUUGCAGUGCACGUCAGCUUCCGACAUAGCAGACUUUCAUGCCUUUUAUCGGUUUUAUUUCUGUUGCAAGACGGUAAACAUUAUUAGUAAACAGUUACGGUGCAGUGCCACCCAUAGUUCUUAUGCAUUUUUACAUGGUAUAUAUUAUUUUAAUUUUAUGUUUUAUAUCUGCCAUUGUGUACUUUAAGGCUAUGCAGUUGUUAUGAUUGUCUUAAUAAUUUAAUAUUUAGUAACGAUUUUUAAAUCAUUAUUUAUACUUCUUAGUUUUAUAUUUAACAACGAUUUUCCCAUUACUUUAUAUUUUUUAAUGAAAUGCAGUGAGGUAGCGUACCAUAUGUUGUAAAUAAAGCCAACAGCUUGACAAAGUCAACGGUGAGAUUUCGGGCAGGGAUUCAGGCUGUUUGAAGAGGUGAAUUUUCUGACAGCGGUAUGAUCCGCGGCGAUAUGCAAUAACUGUUAAAAGUUUCAAGGAAGUGAAAAUUAUAUAUAGCAUUAUAUAUAUAAUUAACUUAUAAAUUACUUUAGGUGUGAGUGAGAAUAAGAAUGGGUUCAUUACAUGUAAAAAAUAGUGAUAUACUAGCGAGCUAAACAUACCCUUUCUUCGUUUUCUUGAAAAUAACCUUCCAGAAGUUUCGAUAUAGCUUAGAUUAACGAAAGUUUGAGUUUGAGGCGCUAUGUUAUCCGAGAAAAAGUCACGUGAUAUUAGUCAAAGUGACUUAUGAAUCACGUGGUUAGAACUAACUUAGUCUCAACUGGAAGUUCCCGCUAGGAGAUCUUUAAAUAAACAAAAGCACUCCAUCGCCGUAUAUACUCGCUCAAUCUGAAAUUUACGAAAAAAUAACCAGAAAAAUUACGGGGCAACCCAGUCGAAAAACGUCCUACGAAAAUUUAAAUUUUGAUGUAUACGUGCGGAAAUCCUAUACACUCUCCUC